UAACGAAGUGGUUGAUGCCAUGCUUCCAAGAAAAGCUUCUAAGCUUCAGGUAACCAGGAACCGUACCCCAAACCGACACAGGUGGUUGGGUAGAGAAUACCAAGGCGCUUGAGAGAACUCGGGUGAAGGAACUAGGCAAAAUGGCACCGUAACUUCGGGAGAAGGUGCGCCGGUGAGGGUGAAGGACUUGCUCCGUAAGCUCAUGCCGGUCGAAGAUACCAGGCCGCUGCGACUGUUUAUUAAAAACACAGCACUCUGCAAACACGAAAGUGGACGUAUAGGGUGUGACGCCUGCCCGGUGCCGGAAGGUUAAUUGAUGGGGUUAGCUAACGCGAAGCUCUUGAUCGAAGCCCCGGUAAACGGCGGCCGUAACUAUAACGGUCCUAAGGUAGCGAAAUUCCUUGUCGGGUAAGUUCCGACCUGCACGAAUGGCGUAACGAUGGCGGCGCUGUCUCCACCCGAGACUCAGUGAAAUUGAAAUCGCUGUGAAGAUGCAGUGUAUCCGCGGCUAGACGGAAAGACCCCGUGAACCUUUACUAUAGCUUUGCACUGGACUUUGAAUUUGCUUGUGUAGGAUAGGUGGGAGGCUUUGAAGCGUGGACGCCAGUCUGCGUGGAGCCAUCCUUGAAAUACCACCCUGGCAACUUUGAGGUUCUAACUCAGGUCCGUUAUCCGGAUCGAGGACAGUGUAUGGUGGGUAGUUUGACUGGGGCGGUCUCCUCCUAAAGAGUAACGGAGGAGUACGAAGGUGCGCUCAGACCGGUCGGAAAUCGGUCGUAGAGUAUAAAGGCAAAAGCGCGCUUGACUGCGAGACAGACACGUCGAGCAGGUACGAAAGUAGGUCUUAGUGAUCCGGUGGUUCUGUAUGGAAGGGCCAUCGCUCAACGGAUAAAAGGUACUCCGGGGAUAACAGGCUGAUACCGCCCAAGAGUUCAUAUCGACGGCGGUGUUUGGCACCUCGAUGUCGGCUCAUCACAUCCUGGGGCUGAAGCCGGUCCCAAGGGUAUGGCUGUUCGCCAUUUAAAGUGGUACGCGAGCUGGGUUUAGAACGUCGUGAGACAGUUCGGUCCCUAUCUGCCGUGGACGUUUGAGAUUUGAGAGGGGCUGCUCCUAGUACGAGAGGACCGGAGUGGACGAACCUCUGGUGUUCCGGUUGUCACGCCAGUGGCAUUGCCGGGUAGCUAUGUUCGGAAUAGAUAACCGCUGAAAGCAUCUAAGCGGGAAACUAGCCUCAAGAUGAGAUCUCACUGGAACCUUGAGUUCCCUGAAGGGCCGUCGAAGACUACGACGUUGAUAGGUUGGGUGUGUAAGCGCUGUGAGGCGUUGAGCUAACCAAUACUAAUUGCCCGUGAGGCUUGACCAU
rnacentral:rRNA from 7 species